rnacentral:lncRNA from 1 species
CUUCAAAAUGUGUCGAUUUGGCUAAAGACAAUCAAGUUCUUCAACAGGAGUUAUUAUCUAUGAAAAAAGUACAACAGCAAUGUGAAAAACUUGAGAAGGAUAAAAAGAUGUUGGAAGAAGAAAUAUUAAAUCUUAAGACACAUAUGGAAGACAAUAUGGUAGAACUUAGUAAACUACAAGAAUAUAAAUCGGAGCUAGAUGAAAGGGCAAUGACGGCAGUAGAAAAAUUAGAAGAAAUCCAUUUACAGAAAUAAACACAAUAUGAAAAACAAUUAGAGCAGUUAAACAAG